GACGAACGCUGGCGGCGUGCUUAACACAUGCAAGUCGAACGGAAAGGCCCUGCUUUUGUGGGGUGCUCGAGUGGCGAACGGGUGAGUAACACGUGAGUAACCUGCCCUUGACUUUGGGAUAACUUCAGGAAACUGGGGCUAAUACCGGAUAGGAGCUCCUGCUGCAUGGUGGGGGUUGGAAAGUUUCGGCGGUUGGGGAUGGACUCGCGGCUUAUCAGCUUGUUGGUGGGGUAGUGGCUUACCAAGGCUUUGACGGGUAGCCGGCCUGAGAGGGUGACCGGCGACAUUGGGACUGAGAUACGGCCCAGACUCCUACGGGAGGCAGCAGUGGGGAAUAUUGCACAAUGGGCGGAAGCCUGAUGCAGCAACGCCGCGUGCGGGAUGACGGCCUUCGGGUUGUAAACCGCUGUCGCAUGUGACGAAGAGUGAGUGACGGUAAUGGGUAAAGAAGCACCGGCUAACUACGUG
rnacentral:rRNA from 1 species